UUUCAUUAUUGAAAGGAUAGGUUUAGGGUUGGGGUAGGUGUCGGUCUUAGCUAAUGUUAUUCAUUGUUAUUAUAUGUCGAGAUUUUGCACCACUUCCGGCCAUAGCUGUAUCCCUUCUAGCAACUACCUUGCUAGACUGCACCCCAUCAUAGAUACUCUGGCGCGGAGGGGGGGGGUCAAAGAACUGAAAACAAAGUUUAUAAGUCAAAUGUUUGGCAUACACAAUUUAGCAGGCAAAUGUAUGUUAAAUAAAAAAAAUACUCAUUACGGAGAAGAAGCACUCUAGCCUGUGGACGCAGACAGGAAGAACACAUUAAAUUGACACAUUAGUUGAACGUAAGAUGUGUAAUCUUCUUGUGGACACAUUCAAACAAUUCAAAACUAUGAAUGCAAUGGUAAUAUAUGAAAAUAGUUACACUGUUUAUGUAAUGACUUAAUGAAAUGAAGGCUGCUGGGUUUUCUGGGCGUAGUGUGGCCAGUGUUCAGCUAUAUUUUAAUGCUGUGUUUGCUAGCCAAGUGUCAUGCAAAGUGUCUGCAAAAUGGUUUGAUCUGAGCAAAUUAAUGUUGGACAUAAAUGUCUAGCUUUCUCUUGGGCAGAGGCCAGGCUUUUCAGAGAGAAAGGGGAGAAGCACUUAGUUGUAAAGCAAGUUGCGCUUUACAUUUUCAUUAGGUCGUUUUUCAUGACUGAAAAAAACCCAGAAAAGCUUGUGAUUUCAGGGGUUAAUGUGAGGUAUUUCUCUGCAGUGCUGAAAGUUGAUCAUUUUUCUUUUCCUUCUCAAAAACGUAUGAGGCAGUUUCGGCAUCCUUGUGGCAUCAUUUGGAGUACUCUUCAUGUGUUGUGUGACAUGGUACGAUAUACUUUAUCAAGAACUAUUUUAAAUAACAUUUAACUAUUUUUUAUUAUUAAUGUGGCUUUUAUGAGCUCAUAUUAAGAGACUACUUGGAAUUUUUGUACUUUAAAAAUGUUAUUUGUCACAAUGAAUGGGCCAUUCAAAAUGAACUAAAGGUAAAGGGAAAGCCAUUACUUUGAUAAAUCUACUCUGAACAAAACUGACACAAUAAAUGUUGUAGGCCCAAAGGUGAAUGUGAAAAGCAUGAGCUCAUCUUUGCGUUCCUGCAUUUAAACACAUUUUCUUAAUUUCUUCAAUCCCCCAUACUUUACAGAUUGACAGACGUGCUUGUGCAUACAAGCUGUAAUUUUAUAUACAUCUCUAAAACAGGCAAAAAACAAGACAACCCUUGAAUGGUUCAUAAUACUCUAUAAUUAUAAUGCUUUGCCCAUCAGUCAGUGAGUAAAAAUAAAGGCCUCCAUCAUGAUGUCAGUCUCUGCUCAGACUUGGAUCAUGAUCCACGAGCAGUCGGCUCCAUGGUAACCAGUAUUAAGUGGACACUAUAAUCAUAUCAUUAAUUCAGCUUUGUGACCUCUUUGUCUCUAUUUUUAAAAUCAGGUGAGAAGGUAACAGAGCUCCACACACCUCUCAGCAGAGCAAUUUUACACCACUGCACAUCAUUGGAGAACCAGUGGGAGACGAGUGGGCUCCCCGAGGAAUGAGAAGGGAAAACACUUAAUGUAAUCUUGGAUUUAGCAACCUAUUUUAUGGCGAGGUUCAACAAUGUCACCAGAAAAGAGGUAGCACUUAAUCACCCAGACAAACACGCCAUUACCCUGCGGAUCCUCAAAACACCGAGCUGAAUUAAAUAUGCAGUUAGUGUUGAUGCAGCCUGCUCGCAAUAAUGUAUUGUGUUGCGAACAAGAAGAAUGGCCACUUCCCUGCCUCCUGGUGCAGAGGGGGCCCGCAGUGACACGGAGGCUCAGGUAUAUGGAUGGCCUGAGGAGGUCUCCAUCAUUCAUAAAACAUGCUGCUGCCGCACGCCACCGAAUUGAUCUUGCAAAAGAAGCAGGGUGGCAUGCCGACCACUUCAUUAGUCUUCUGCGGCUACAAAUCACACUCGUCGUUCCAUCCCAGGGACCCGCUGUAACCGCAAACUUGGCCGUGACGUACUUGGCCUAGACUCGGAACUCGACUGGUCCGACAGCGUUUCUGCGCUGACCACAUUGUUUAUGGUGAAAUGACUAAAAUAUGUGUGAAAAAAAUGACAACAGAGAACAGCCCCCUAAAAUAAGAAAUGCACACUUUUUUUGAGCUCUGUAAUUGAUUGCUGGUGGUCAUUUUGGGCGUCAUGGGAUAAAAUCAAGUGGCUUCUCCAUAAAACAAUGUCAAAUAUUGAUGAUAUUUCUCUUCCCCGUCCUCUGAAUGAAUUGCCCCACUCACUGAGGCUUUUUGAUGAAUGCUUUUUAUUGCCUUUUCUGUUGUUGCUGGAGCAGCUGGAAGAAACUGGGCCCGGUCCUCUCAGGCACGGCUAACCAAAUUGCCCUGAGAGGACUGCGACAUUACAGUCCACAAAUCAGAGCUGCGUUGAUUUUUAUUUCGCUUCUGUUCUUUUUUUCUUUUUUUGAGAGGGUUUAAUGGCAUUAAAAUGUACCCGCAUUUCUGUUGUAAAACAAUCCCACGAUAAAGCAAAAGUCAAUUUUAUGCUUGAUGAUUGACUAAACGAAAGAGCAACGGCAUUUAAAGUGAAACAAAUCUUCCUAAAUGAACAUAAAAUGUUGCAGUUUUUCAGAACGUAAAGAGCGCCAACAAAAGAUUGGGCAGAUAUAGAGCACUGAUGGAGAACGUCAAAAGGGACUUCAUAGCUUGGCUUGUAAAUGUGAAAAGAAAAUGGAAUGUCUUUCUUGCUCUCUUCUGCUUUUGUCUGUCUGUUUCAGAAAACAAACUGUUCUUGCAUUGUGUUGUCUCUUUAAAGUUGCAUGGUUAGCCCUCAACCCCCCUCAUUCCUGCACAGUCUAUUCCCUCAACUGUCAUGCUGCCAGGCCUAAAAGCCUGUCUUGUGAAAUGUUCAACAUCAGAAAUGGUUUGUGUGCAUGUCAGUUUGGCCCACCAAAAAAUCCUAACAGUUACGCCAAAGGCACCAUAGGCACGUUCUCAUGUGAAGUUUUGUUUGUGUUUUAAAGGCCAUUGGUUAUAGCUGAAACACUAGCGCUGUCUAAAGCUUAUUUAUGAUCUCGCUGCUAUAUUAAGAUCUUAUCAGGUUAACACAACCUAAGGUCACAUCUACUUUUAGCACACACGUUGAGUUAUGUCACUUAUUGAGGCAUCUUAGAAUGAUGGGCAACUUCCAAGCUAAUAAUGACAUCACUUCCUGAAUACCUUGUAUUAGUAAACAAAAUAAUUCAGAUCGCUCUCUGAACAUUUCCAUAAGCACACAUAUAUAUCUCUCUCUGCAUCCGCUUCUCUCACAAAACUCCCCAUUUGACUUGUGAAACACGAUAAACACAUUUGAAGAUAUGCAUGAAUAAUUCAGCCCACCAGGGCUGUAGUGGUUGAGCAUGUAAGCAUGCGAGUGUGUGAAGGAGGGGAGACAGGGUGGUGGGACAGCAAACAAGUCCCUUCUGGUUAAGCUUUUUUGAAGGACGGCCCAAAGUACGCAGCGCAGCGUUACAAGUGCUCGAGGUCUGAGGGGAAUUGGGAGCAUCUCCAUUACCAGUGCGGAACGAUUUGUUUGGAAUUAUGCCAAGCAGCAAAUAUCUGGACCUUUGGGGACAGCGAACAUCUGAUCUCUACAAUUUCGCAUCAUUCCCUCUCUCCUCUCACCGCAGACUCAUUCUCUACUGUCCUUCCAGAUCCUUUUAGUUACAAAUACUUUUUUAAUUAAAGUACGCAACAUUUGCCUUAAAAUUCUUCCUGUUGCUCAACGUUCAAACGGACCACUUUCACUACUUCUUACACGUUCUCCUCGAUGCUGCUCAGUCAUUUCCGGUAACAGUGUUCAGCGUACAUGCAGAGAUCAUGGCAGAUUAUUUUUAUUUUUAGGGCGGUCACUUUACUUAAAAACAAUAAAUCCUGUUUGUGACAUUAACAUGCUUUAAUGUGACAGAUCGUAAAUUAGCAGAAGUUCACCUCCUAAUAUAUUUUAUAAACGUGCACUCAACUCCUGAAUAAUAAAGCCGUGGUAUGCACCAUGCAACAGUCUUCUCAGUUCUUUUGGAGAGGAUAUACCUAGUGAUUGUUUAGAAUAUUUCUUAUGUUGCUGAUAAUUUAUGUACGUAAAAAUCUUAAUUUUAACAGUUUAGGUUUCAUAGGUAGCAACAGCCAAUUGUAAAUGCAUAUAAGCCGAACCUAUUGAGCCGUACGAUUUCAAGUUGGAAGUACUUCACAAGGCUACAUGCAAGAAGUCCAUUCCCAGGCAAUAUAUCAGUAAUAAUAUAUUUAUUAUUAUAUUUUUAUUUAAUCAGCAUUUCUAGAUGUAUUGCGGCCAUUCCAGUCCAGUGCCAGUCCAAUUUUUUAAAAAAUCAAACCUCAAGAGUGACAUCAAGUCACCCAACAGCAAUGUGAAAUGUGGUAAAAAUCAAGGUUAUCACAUAGAAAAUAUUUCCGAACUUUUCCUAAAUACAUGUAAAAAUAUUGAUAUAUUGCUUGAUAGUGAAAAUGAACUUGUUUUCUUUGCCGUGUGAGUUCUGAAAAAAUACAGAGCAUCUUUUAUGUUUAUGUUUGCAUUUUGACAUUUUUCUUCUGUUUUUAUUUUCUGCAAUUAAAUGCAAAUAGAAACAAUAUAAUCAUUUGA